rnacentral:rRNA from 1 species
CCUACGGGUGGCAGCAGUGAGGAAUAUUGGUCAAUGGACGCAAGGCUGAACCAGCCAAGUCGCGUGAAGGAAGACGGAUCUAUGUUUUGUAAACUUCUUUUAUAGGGGAAUAAAGGUAUCCACGUGUGGCUAUUUGCAUGUACUCUAUGAAUAAGCAUCGGCUAACUCCGUGCCAGCAGCCGCGGUAAUACGGAGGAUGCGAGCGUUAUCCGGAUUUAUUGGAUUUAAAGGGUGCGUAGGUUGUUUUUUAAGUCAGCGGUGAAAGUUUGUGGCUCAACCAUAAAAUUGCCGUUGAGACUGGCAGGCUUGAGUGUAGUUGAGGUAGGCGGAAUGCGUGGUGUAGCGGUGAAAUGCUUAGAUAUCACGCAGAACUCCGAUUGCGAAGGCAGCUUACUAAGCCAUGACUGACACUGAAGCACGAAAGCGUGGGGAUCAAACAGGAUUAGAUACCCCUGUAGUC